AGAAAUUCCUUAGGAUAGCUAUUUAUAAGUUUUUUUAUCACAAAAUUAGCCAUUAAUAAAAAAAUGACCAAAAGAAAUUUUAUUAAAGAGUAAAAAUGCAUUUAUACUCUAGGGUUAACUAAUCUAGACUUAAAAUUUAGAGUUACGGGGUGAGUUUUUGAGAAAAAAAUUUCAAAUUUAAAAAUAAAAAUAAAAAAUAAAGAUGAAAGUUUUCAAAAUUAAAAAAAAAAAUAUAUUUUGUCAUUUUCUUUAUUGAAAACUAUUUUUGUGACAAAAACUUAAAAAAAAUGUUAUUUGAAAGUAUUACCCAUUUAUCAUAUCUUACAUUUUGGGGAUAGAAAGAUUAUCUUAAUGAGUGUGUACGAGGGAAGCACUCUUAACUUGCUUAAGUUUAUUAACCUUGAAUAUUUUUUGUUUAUUUUUAAGUUGUAAAUGGGUUAAUUAAACUCUUGAAGUAGAGAGAACAAUCUAUCGACAACUAGACAUUGAAGUUUUAGAUAUGUACACAAUUAUAUAGUACAUGACAGUAUGAACUAGACUAUAAACUAGGGUAUCAGUAGAGUGGUUGGUAACUGGUAAGUCCCAGCAUUAUUUGAUUAAGAAAUAGUUUGUCGGUUCUAAUUUCAUACAUAUGCGGAAAAAGAAAUAGAAACGUGAGAAGGGUGAUUAAUGAUAAAGUGGCGAUGAUGAUCUUGAUUCUUGAGACCGUUGGAUGAAAGGAGAGGAAGACGGUUGAGACCGUAUAUAAUUUAAUGGAGGUAUUGCUCGUAUUUGUACGUGGUCCAUUCUCCUCCUACUCGGAUUGUGCAUGCUUUAAUUAGAUGGAGAAAUAUGGCCACAAACUCUCUUUUUAAUAAUGAAAUGUCUACAAAGUU
rnacentral:lncRNA from 1 species